rnacentral:rRNA from 1 species
GACGAACGCUGGCGGCGUGCUUAACACAUGCAAGUCGAACGAUGAAGCCUAGCUUGCUAGGUGGAUUAGUGGCGAACGGGUGAGUAAUACGUGAGUGACCUACCUUUGACUCUGGGAUAAGCCUGGGAAAUUGGGUCUAAUACCGGAUACGACCAAUCUCCGCAUGGGGUGUUGGUGGAAAGCGUUAUGGAGUGGUUUUAGAUGGGCUCACGGCCUAUCAGCUUGUUGGUGAGGUAAUGGCUUACCAAGGCGACGACGGGUAGCCGGCCUGAGAGGGUGACCGGCCACACUGGGACUGAGACACGGCCCAGACUCCUACGGGAGGCAGCAGUGGGGAAUAUUGCACAAUGGGCGCAAGCCUGAUGCAGCGACGCCGCGUGAGGGAUGACGGCCUUCGGGUUGUAAACCUCUNGUAGCAUCGAAGAAGCGAAAGUGACGGUAGGUGCAGAGAAAGCGCCGGCUAACUACGUGCCAGCAGCCGCGGUAAUACGUAGGCCGCGAGCGUUGUCCGGAAAAUAUGGGCGUAAAGAGCUUGUAGGCGGUUGGUCGCGUCUGCUGUGAAGGCUGGGGCUUAACCCUGGUUUUGCAGUGGGUACGGGCUAACUAGAGUGCAGUAGGGGAGACUGGAAUUCCUGGUGUAGCGGUGGAAUGCGCAGAUAUCAGGAGGAACACCGAUGGCGAAGGCAGGUCUCUGGGCUGUAACUGACGCUGAGAAGCGAAAGCAUGGGGAGCGAACAGGAUUAGAUACCCUGGUAGUCCAUGCCGUAAACGUUGGGCACUAGGUGUGGGGGACAUUCCACGUUUUCCGCGCCGUAGCUAACGCAUUAAGUGCCCCGCCUGGGGAGUACGGCCGCAAGGCUAAAACUCAAAGAAAUUGACGGGGGCCCGCACAAGCGGCGGAGCAUGCGGAUUAAUUCGAUGCAACGCGAAGAACCUUACCAAGGCUUGACAUAUACUGGACUGCGUCAGAGAUGGCGUUUCCCUUCGGGGCUGGUAUACAGGUGGUGCAUGGUUGUCGUCAGCUCGUGUCGUGAGAUGUUGGGUUAAGUCCCGCAACGAGCGCAACCCUCGUUCUAUGUUGCCAGCACGUGAUGGUGGGGACUCAUAGGAGACUGCCGGGGUUAACUCGGAGGAAGGUGGGGAUGACGUCAAAUCAUCAUGCCCCUUAUGUCUUGGGCUUCACGCAUGCUACAAUGGCCGGUACAGAGGGUUGCGAUACUGUGAGGUGGAGCUAAUCCCUAAAAGCCGGUCUCAGUUCGGAUUGGGGUCUGCAACUCGACCCCAUGAAGUCGGAGUCGCUAGUAAUCGCAGAUCAGCAACGCUGCGGUGAAUACGUUCCCGGGCCU